rnacentral:piRNA from 1 species
UGGUUGGUGAAUUGGGAACAGCUCUCCGGA